AUUGAACGCUGGCGGCAGGCUUAACACAUGCAAGUCGAGCGGGGGAGGUUGCUUCGGUAACUGACCUAGCGGCGGACGGGUGAGUAAUGCUUAGGAAUCUGCCUAUUAGUGGGGGACAACAUUCCGAAAGGGAUGCUAAUACCGCAUACGCCCUACGGGGGAAAGCAGGGGAUCUUCGGACCUUGCGCUAAUAGAUGAGCCUAAGUCGGAUUAGCUAGUUGGUGGGGUAAAGGCCUACCAAGGCGACGAUCUGUAGCGGGUCUGAGAGGAUGGUCCGCCAAACUGGAGCUGGGACCCGGCCCAGACUCCUAAGGGAGGGAGCAGUGGGGAAUAUUGGACAAUGGGCGGAAGCCUGAUCCAGCCAUGCCGCGUGUGUGAAGAAGGCCUUUUGGUUGUAAAGCACUUUAAGCGAGGAGGAGGCUCUUAAGGUUAAUACCCUUGAUGAGUGGACGUUACUCGCAGAAUAAGCACCGGCUAACUCUGUGCCAGCCGCCGCAGUAACAC
rnacentral:rRNA from 1 species